GCUCCUCCUCUUUGCAUCUCAAUAUCUUUUAUCCCAAUGCUUGAACUUAGAAAUUCAACAAAUGUUGACUGAAUGGCAGCAGCAUGACACGAUAUUGCCUUAACAUGGACCUAAAGAUAUUUCAUUAAAAUAACAAAGUCACGAAUUCAUACUAAACAUCUUAAUGUGUGAGAAGCUCCAAAGACCUGGAUUUUGCAGUUAAUUUGCUGACUUCCAUAAACAUGAAAAGAAAGAGAUUUAUUUACAAAUAUUUGGUAAGCUUUUUCUCUUCUACCUACAGAACUAAUUAAUCUUUUUUUUAGUGGUCCCUAACAUAAUUAUCCUCUAUAUCAAUAUAGCCAAACAUUGGAGAACAUAGAUUAGACCAAGUACUUUACAUAGUUUGCAUACUGUUGCACGCAUUUUAGAGUACAUUUGUUGACUUAGCAUAUUUUUGUUGCAUUUAAAUUAGCUUUCUCAAUUUUACAUUUAAAUAAGUGGUAUAUUACUGUGCAUGCUCUAAUUAUAAUUAUUUGGAAAAUGGUGCAAUAAACGUUGAUUGGAUGGAUCAAAUAGCCUAAUGUGCCAAAAUAUAUCAAUAUAUAAUUAUCUACUGGUAAAACUGUGCUGUUCUUUUAAAAAGAUGUCUCUUGCUCAUCAGUCAAUCUGUUGCUUGCAACUUCCAACUGCUUUUAAAAUCUCCUUUAUGAAAUUUUUUCCUUCCUGUUACCAUCUUCUCAAACUGCUUCAGGUUUAAACUCCUUUGAAGAGAGAAUCAGGUAUGAGCUCACUCCCUUUUCAUCACCUUUCACUGUUCUUUUCCAGCUACAUCCUCCUUGUAGUCUCCUCUCCUUUCUUGUGCUUCUGGCUUACUUCUUGAAAAUCCCUAAAUGAAUUCCCAUAAUGACCUUAGCUCUCCUACCUCAUCAUGCCACAACUCCCCUGCCUGACUUGGAAGGCUCUUUCACAGCCCGGCUCCAUCCUACCUUUCCAACAAUUUUCCAAAUCAAACCCUUCACUAAAACGACACCAACAGAAAAUACUGACUGAACAUUUAACUAUCAGGGACUGGUAAUAGGCCAAAUGCCAUUAACGUAUAAUCAAUAAACAGACUACAGUAUAAAUAACACCAGUCUCUGGUUUUACAGAAGAAAAAAUUGAGGCACAGAAAGAUGAAACACCUUGUCAGAGAUUAUAUGGCUAGCAAACUGUGGUGCUGGGACUUGAACUUAGGACCCAUUCUCUUAAUCGUUUUGAUGUAUUUUCCUGUGGGCUAUACACAUAUCCUACAUAAAGCAUGCUGCCUUAUGUGCUGACGUGCACUACUGCUGAUGUUAUUCCCUUUUACUUGGAUAGUUUCACCUCUGCUCAGCCAAAUGUUACCCAUCCUUCAGGGUCUAGCUUGACUGGUAUGUUCAGAGGCUGUAUUUAGCCUUCUCCAUGAAACUUUAUGUAAUUUUACCAGACCUCACUGAUUUCCCUUUUUAGAUAGAGUUAAAGAGCAAAUAAUCUCUAUUAUGUAUCAGCACACAGUUUAAUGUUUGCUAGGUCACCUUUAUUUUAUUUCUCUGACAAAAAUGAAAACUUCUUAAGGGUGGAGACUAUUUCUUGAGUUUUUACUAGAUUCUUCAAGAAGCAUAAAAAUGACUCUUUCAUCGUGUCAGCAGCAGCAAGUAUAUUCUAGGUCCUGUGUUUUGUACUGUACUUAAUUAUCUCACUUAAUCUUCACUAAAACUAUAAGAGGUGAAUGUCAUUAUCCUAUAUUACACAUGAGGUAACUGAGGCAUGAAGAGAUAAGGCAACAGAACUAGGUCAUAAAGCUAGGUAGCAGAGCUAAGACUGAUCUUCACUUCUGAACACACAGAAUUUAAAUUUUUAGUAAUACCACUUAAUGUUUAUAAAAUGCCUGUCUCUUUAAUAUUUAAUCAUAUCUAUUUUCUCCUUUACAAUUAAAAAAACUGUUUCUUAUCAUGGCAUUUGCCUUCUGAUCUCCA
rnacentral:lncRNA from 1 species